rnacentral:rRNA from 1 species
CCCGCUGAACUUAAGCAUAUCAAUAAGCGGAGGAAAAGAAACUAACAAGGAUUCCCCUAGUAACUGCGAGUGAAGCGGGAAAAGCUCAAAUUUAAAAUCUGGCGGUCUCUUUGGGGCUGUCCGAGUUGUAAUCUAGAGAAGCGUCUUCCGUGCUGGACCGUGUACAAGUCUCUUGGAAUGGAGCGUCGUAGAGGGUGACAAUCCCGUCUUUGACACGGACUGCCAGGGCUUUUGUGAUGCGCUCUCGAAGAGUCGAGUUGUUUGGGAAUGCAGCUCAAAAUGGGUGGUAAAUUCCAUCUAAAGCUAAAUAUGGGCGAGAGACCGAUAGCGAACAAGUACCGUGAGGGAAAGAUGAAAAGAACUUUGAAAAGAGAGUUAAACCAGUACGUGAAAUUGUGAAAAGGGAAACGAUUCAAGUCAGUCGCGUUGUCCGGUAAUCACCCUUUGCAGCAUUUUUGUGCUGGGCUUACUUUUCGGNUCGACGGGUCAGCAUCAAUUUUGAUCGUCGGACAAGGUCUUGGGGAAUGUGGCAUCUUCGGAUGUGUUAUAGCCCCUUGUCGCAUGCGAUGGUUGGGAUUGAGGAACUCAGCACGCCGAAAAGGUCGGGGUUUUGAACCCACGUUAACGUGCUUAGGAUGCUGGCAUAAUGGCUUGAACCGACCCGUCUUGAAACACGG